AGAGCCUAGGAAGCAAAAGAAAGGUAUGAUAAUGUUACCCCCAAUAAGAAGCACAGGGAUGGGUGACUGACUUAAUUGCUGGAAGAAAAAUCUUCACAGAGGCCUCUUGCUGGGUACCUUGAGAAGGUGGCUGAGUUCCCAGCAAUGCAGUUCUCCAUUAAAACCCCAGAUUAAGGAAGGAGAAGUGGCAAAGGGUCACAUGGGACUUACACAAGGUUUGAGAAAAACUCCUGACCAGCCACUUUUGAGUACAAUUGGAAGAGAUGAAAUAUCAGUGAUUCACAACCCAAUUCAGACUAGUCUCCGCCCUUU
ensembl:ribozyme RNaseP_nuc Nuclear RNase P